CGGGCGGGCAUGCCCCUCCUCCUUAAUCCGUCUCAAGCUGGUACGAGCACAAGGCGAGCAACGUGAGGCACCCCGCGCCGCUGCCGGGAGAUAUCAUCCAGCUUCAGAGGUAGACCAGCCAUCUGUCGAAGCUCCUAGUCUGCUGUUUGAGAGUGUCACAAAGUGUCCUGCGAUCAUGCAAUUGCCAUUUGUGCACUUCACGA